CUACCNUGCAGUCGAGGGGCAGCGGUGGAAAAGCUUGCUUUUCCGCCGGCGACCGGCGCACGGGUGCGCACCGCGUAUGGAACCUGCCUUGUACAGGGGAAUAGCCCAGGGAAACUUGGAUUAAUGCCCCGUAGUACCGUAUUUCGGCAUCGUUAUACGGUUAAAGCCUUCGGGCGGUACAAGAUGGCCAUGCGUCCCAUUAGCUGGAUGGUAAGGUAACGGCUUACCAUGGCUACGAUGGGUAGGGGCCCUGAGAGGGGGAUCCCCCACACUGGUACUGAGACACGGACCAAACUCCUACGGGAGGCAGCAGUGAGGAAUAUUGGACAAUGGAGGGGACUCUGAUCCAGCCAUGCCGCGUGCAGGAAGAAUGCCCUAUGGGUAGUAAACUGCUUUUAUACGGGAAGAAAAAGAGCUACGUGUAGCUUACUGACGGUACCGUAAGAAUAAGGACCGGCUAACUCCGUGCCAGCAGCCGCGGUAAUACGGAGGGUCCGAGCGUUAUCCGGAAUUAUUGGGUUUAAAGGGUCCGUAGGCGGGCCGAUAAGUCAGGGGUGAAAGUCUGCCGCUCAACGGUAGAACUGCCUUUGAUACUGUCGGUCUUGAGUUAUAGUGAAGUUGCCGGAAUAUGUAGUGUAGCGGUGAAAUGCAUAGAUAUUACAUAGAACACCGAUUGCGAAGGCAGGUGACUAACUAUAUACUGACGCUGAUGGACGAAAGCGUGGGGGAGCGAACAGGAUUAGAUACCCUGGUAGUCCACGCCGUAAACGAUGGAUACUAGCUGUCCGGAACCUUGAGUUCUGGGCGGCCAAGCGAAAGUGAUAAGUAUCCCACCUGGGGAGUACGUUCGCNAGAAUGAAACUCAAAGGAAUUGACGGGGGCCCGCACAAGCGGUGGAGCAUGUGGUUUAAUUCGAUGAUACGCGAGGAACCUUACCAGGGCUUAANUGCAUANUNGACAGGGUCAGANAUGACUUUUCCUUCGGGCAAUUUGCAAGGUGCUGCAUNGGUUGUCGUCAGCUCGUGCCGUGAGGNGUCAGGUAAGUCCUG
rnacentral:rRNA from 1 species